rnacentral:rRNA from 1 species
UAUUGGACAAUGGGCGCAAGCCUGAUCCAGCAAUACGGCGUGUGUGAAGAAGGCCUUAGGGUUGUAAAGCACUUUCAAUUGGGAGGAAAACCUGCCGGUCAAUACCCGGUAGCUUGACAUUACCUUUAGAAGAAGCACCGGCUAACUCCGUGCCAGCAGCCGCGGUAAUACGGAGGGUGCGAGCGUUAAUCGGAAUUACUGGGCGUAAAGCGUGCGUAGGCGGUUCGUUAAGUCAGAUGUGAAAGCCCUGGGCUCAACCUGGGAACUGCAUUUGAAACUGGCGGACUAGAGUUUAGUAGAGGGGAGUGGAAUUUCAGGUGUAGCGGUGAAAUGCGUAGAUAUCUGAAGGAACACCAGUGGCGAAGGCGACUCCCUGGACUAGAACUGACGCUGAGUACGAAA